rnacentral:lncRNA from 1 species
CUCCGUGGUCCCGUCUCAUGGUCUCCGCCGGCUGCCCCCGUGCCCUCCGGUCCACCUCUCUCACCCGCUGCCGCUGGCACUCGGCCUGCCGCUGACGCCACCACACACACACUCGACUCCACCCAGAGCCCCUCCACCAGCACUCACACACACAUCCGCUCCAGCAGUGGGAGCGGCCGGCCGUAGCCUGGCCUGCCAGAACGUCUGCAAGAUCGCCAUGGCGUUCGAGAAGCCCAGUCCACCCCAGAAGCCUCUUCCCGCAGACCCGCUGAGUGGAAACGUCCGAGUGAUUCGGAACCCAUCGGCCGUGCGACUUCCAGCUCCCAUCCCGACCCCAGCCGCCCCGCGACCCGCUCCGCCUCACCCACAGCCCACCAGGCCUCCUCCUAAACAGCCGCCCACCCUGCCGAAGCCUCACUUCACAGCCGGAGUGAAGUUCAGCAGCUGAGAGACGGACAGAAGGGAUCUCGUCCCUGGAGACGCUCGCUUUUUACACUAUGAACCUCUGCGGGACACAUGGUGAUGCGAGGGGUGACCUUUGACCCCCGCGGUGCUCUCCCUUUAAACGGUGCUAUGAGUCCAAGCUCAGGUACAUGUCACGCGUUAUUUAUGUCGGUUACGAGCGUAUUUAUUUGAGCACAGUGCACUGUGGUUGACACUUUCUCAAUCGUAGCAAUUGGUGGUUCGCCCACGUUUACCUGAUUGUCCUUUUGUCGUUGUUGCUAUUGUUGUUGUUUUGACAUUUUUCGACUGUGUACCAGCAGAUAAAGAUGAGACGUGUUAUCUGUGAACGUGAACCACAUCAUUUGGACGCUAAACUGGAUUGAAAACCAGAUUUAAAUGGAAACGUGAAUUGGGAGUUGAUGGUUCUGUAUUUGUGACGUCAUUUGGUAUAUGAAAAGGGCUUUUUAAUAAUUUCAUAUGAUUUAAUGGCCAUUUUUAUUAUAUAUUUCAGACAUGCA